GAUUGCAACAGGUACCAGUCAUGAGUGAGCUUGUGGUCCUUUAGUAUUAUGAGCACCGUGUAGCGUCCGGGGUAACAAACUUGGUAUGAGAGCCUGAGGUUCAACAGAAUCCUAGGAAGUCUUAAAACCGUGUCUAGUGGAGUCCUGUGCAUGGGGUGUUGCGCGCCAUACUUAUGGACAAGAGGCUAUGAGGCAUUUUAGGAAAAGUUUCCCUUCUUUCAGUAUUCAUGUCGUGCGAGUGAGCAUGAGCUCAAGUUAAACUCUCAGUCUAAUCCUUUUCUUCCCUCCAUUUACAGAAUGUCUCCCAAAAAGACUAACGGAAGAAGAACUGGAAACUAGCCUGUGCCUUCGCCCGUUCAGGAAAAUCCCCUGAAUGAGCAUGUGUCUCACUCCGAACUCAGGACCGCUUUCACUGCCUUAGCUUAUUCAGUGGUAGCCUGGAACAAUCAUCUGGCUACAAUCCUAUCUAGGCUUAUGACUCAAUCUCCGCAGAGUGAGGAGAAAAGAUGUAGGAAAAGAGGGAGAAAGAAUAAGAGGGCUAGAACGCCAAGGCCAGAGAGUGGCCGAACAAAUCCUCCUUGCCAAAAAUAUGGUAGAAACCAUCAGGGCGUGUGUAAGGUUGGUAGUGGGUUGUGUUUUAGAUGUGGCAAGCCAGGCCAUAGAAUCAGAGAUUGUCCUCAGUCAUGUUUGCGGAGUCAACAUAUCCGUCCUUCAGCUCAGUCCGAUCGCUCGAAUCAGUAGGGUGCCAUUUCCAGCGCCACAAGUGGGCAACGCCCAAAUAGGCUUUAUGCACUUUAGUCCCGACAGGCUCAGAAAAGUUCUCCUAAUGUGGUCACUGGUAUGUUACAAGUUUAUCAUUUACAUGUUUAUGCCUUAUUAGAUCCAGGAGCUUCUUUGUCUCUGGUAACUCCUUACAUAGCAGUCAACUUUAAAGUCAGACUAAAAAUCUUAACAGAACCUUUUUUAGUACCUACCCCAGUAGGUAAAUCUAUUUUAGCCAGACGAGUAUAUAGAAAUUGCUCGGUUAUAGUAUUUUCAGAAAAUUCCUUCAGUUGAUUUCAGUAAUAGAGUCGUUCCGUUCCCAUUUCCUGAUGGGCCAAUCAUCGAAUAAAGGGGUAGUACCUCAAUUUCAGUUGAUUUAAGCUUGAAUUUUUUUAGAUUGAACCAGUAGAAAGAAGAGUUGAGAAUUCUAAGUUUGUCAGUGUUGAGGUUGCUAUAUGAUGAUUGUUGGGGCCAUAAAAAGCUAAGAAUCGUGUAUCAGAAGAGUACUAGCAGUGGACCUUACAUUAUCAGGUGUAGUCCUUUAGAAUGAGUUUAGUGUUUAUGACUAUUGUUAGACCUCAGGCUCUAGAGUAAAGUGGUUUCAGUUCGAUUUAAAGUUUAUUAAGUGGUUCGCAGACUUAGAAUAACGGCUUUAAGCUAAGGAGGAGAUGGUAGAACAAGUAACCACGUCAGGCUUCCAGAUUUUUAGUAGUAAUGUCAGUAUGUGUAGAAGAGCAGUGGGAAAGGAUGAUGCCCAACCCGUACUUACCUCAAUACAAAGUUUUGCACUUCAACUAUCACGAUAUGAUAUCUCUCACGCCUUACAUGUCAACUCUAUGAUCAUAGCUCAUAUUCGUGCACAUGAUCGAAAAUCACGUACGCUUACCAUUCCUAGUAUAAGGAAUUCCAGUUCACUCAGUGUUAUGAAUCAUGUUCCAUGAAUACAGAAACUCCAAACUCAGGUCAUGCAACUCAUGACUCAUGUACUCAUGCUUUACAGUAAGCUCAGCUCCCAUGACUCAUGCUACACUCCUAAUGAUCCGCUAAAUUCAGAUUUCGUCAUGUAUAUCCUCAGUUUAGAUCUCUUGAUAAAAUCCAGGAUAUUAUUGUUCUAUUCCUCAGGCCUCAGUUAAGUGUCAAGUUCGGUAUAGUGCCAUUCAUGCUUCAGGUCCUCAUAUUUAACCUUCAGUGAACUCUCCUUAUGAAAUGAUGUAGUGGUGAGCAGUUGCUUAGGAGGGGGAGAGUAAAUGUUUCAUGUUAAGAAAAGAUUGUUGCAUGCUACUUUUACAAGAGGUUGUAGUUAUGAAGAUAGGCUUGAAUGUCAUGUUGAUGUGUAAAUGGCUAAAUGCAUUUUGGAGAUUUGAGUAGGCUUGAACAUAGUGGGAGAAUUCAGUCCAACUCAGACCUCAGUAGGUAGAGUUAUUAGUGCCCAUGUAAAUAUUUUCAGUAGCCCCAAGUAAAGUGCGGUGUUGAAGUAGAAAUUACAGUUAAGAAAUGUGGUUAGGAUGGUGAGUUAGUAGUUUUAGUGCAUGAGGCUUAGUAACUUUGUCUUAGAUAACGUCUCGUAGGCUUUGCUCCAUAUUACAGAAUUGGAGCCAUGUUGUGAUUUCUUAUUCGGAUGUCUUAUUUAGACCAUGUCGAGAUUUCCUUGCUCCCUAAAGUCAGUAUAACUUUGUAGAAAGAGUGUCAAAAAAUGCUCUAGUUGAGUAUAAGUUUUCAGAAUGAGUUAGUCCGUAAAGCCAGGAAUUCAGUUUAGCAGUCAGGUGGAUAGGUUCGUACGGUUUCCCCAUCUUUCCACCCAAUCGUACUCCAAAGUUUCAUGAAUGAAUGUUCCAAGAUAGAGCAUCCUAGUAGUUACGAGUUCAGCCCAGUUCAUGUAUCAUGCCUCAGUUUUAGAUCUCAGAUAUUCAGUCACGAUUUAGUUCGUAGGUGCCCCAUGCACCGUCUCAGCUUUUUCUUAGUAUCUCAGCCAAGUCAGCAUUCUUCGAUGGACAUAAUGUCCCAAGGGGGAGAUACACUAUAACCCCUGAGCUUUCAUGUCCUAAACGUUCCAGUUUCUCAUCACGUAACUAGAUCCAGUUGGAGUAAUGAGUACUCAUAAGUUGACUCUCUCGUUCCAAUCUUAGCCAUAUGACCAUUCCCAUGUCAUGGCAUUUAACCAAGGAAUCAACUCAGUUCACGAUAUUCGGUUCAUGUAUCAUGUUUCAGACUCAGUUAUGUUCUCAUGUUCCCGAACUCAGUUCACGAUAUUCAGUUCAUGUAUCAUGUUUCAGACUCAGUUAUGUUCUCAUGUUCCCGUUCAUGCAUGUUCAGUAAAUGAUCUCAGGUUCAUCAGUAUUCUCAGCUUAAGGUAACAGUGUUUCUUAAAUUGGCUUAGUUCCAUGUUCAGUUACAGUUAUAAACUUGGUAUCCAUUACUGUUGCAUAUUCAGUCAUGCAUUCGCGAAUCAGUUCAGUCAUGUACUUAUGCAUCAGAUAUGCAUAUUUAGUAUGAAAACUCAGCUUAUCAGUACUUUCAAUUAUGUAUUCCAUGCAUAAGAUAUGCAUAUUCAGUGUAUAAACUCAGUCCAUCAGUAUUUCUUAGCAUAAUCAGUCUCAUUUGAGGACGAAUAUUCCCAAGGGGGAGAUAUUGUAAGACCCCGCAAAAUUCUAAGCUUAACUCAGUCCGUUAAAGCUUGAAAAGAGGUCCCAGACUUAGAAAUUUCCGCUAAGUGUUUAUACUUAGAAGUGUUUUAGCCUUCGUAAGUUGGUGAUCCUAUUUUAUGACCCUUAUGACCUUAAAGUAUCAGUUUUUAGAUUUAUUCAUGAUCAGGAAUGUCAGUAGGUCACUUCGGGUGAGUUUUGGAUUUUUCGAACCUCGUUUAAACCAUGUUCAGGUGACCAAAACAGUGGGUCGACCAUCGCGUUGACAAAUAAUUUUUCCCCAUCUUUCAGUGCAAUUCCAGUUAACCAAUGCGAACUCAACGCAGCGCGUUGGCCAUCGCAUUGAUGCCAUCGACGCGACGCAUCAGUCUGCGCGUCACUAGGCACAAUUUUUGCUUUAUUAAUUCCGCAUCUAGAGAGGUAUUUAGGUCAAUUUCCCCACUCCUAUUCAGCCCCAAAACACGUAAUUAGGCCUUUCUAAAGGCAAAUUUCACGCACUCUCUUUAGAAUCCUCUCAAGAACAAACCCUAUGGGAUCUAAUUUCAAAUUCAAGAUCCAAGGACGCACCACCAAUCUUCACGAAUUCAAGCUCCAAGGUAUGUGAAGUGUUCAUCCAAGGGUUUUCUUCCACCCUUGGAAUUCAAGAAACUCUUUUAAACUACAAGUUAAUUGAUUUUAUGAAUUCAAUGUGGGAUUUGAGCGUAUUCAUGAUUAUGAUGUUAAUUGUGUUCUAAUCCAUGGUUUAUUCCUAGUUUCAUGUGAAAUUAUUUAUCAUGUGUGUAGUAUCAUGUGAAUUCAUGUUAAAAGCCCUUGAUUUUUGAAUUGGGAUUUGAAAUUAUGAUGCGUACAUGUUAUUUAGUAUCAUGUGCAUAGAUUAUGUUCCCUAAGUGCUUGAUAAAUUGCUCAUGUGAAUUAAAUGUGAAAAUCAUGACAUAUAGCAUAUGUGCAAGCUUAUAUCUUACAAGUGUUUGAUAGAAUGCCUUUAUGAACGAGUUUUGAGCAAGUAAAGAUUGUGAUGCUUUUCAAGUUUAUGCAAUGCGUUACUUUUCAUGCUAUCGAGUCUUGGGGGUAUUCAAUACCCGAAGAUUUAGUUGCUUACCUAGAGUUACAGUAGUUACAGAACAACCUUAGUAGCGUCACGAACAAUAGUACUUAGUAAUCAGUCACAAUUUCAGUUCAGUAAAUAGUUCAGAACUUAGUAGUAUUCCGUCAGUCAGUGGCACUCAAUAAACUCAGUUCAGUCCAGUUAGACAUAUCAUCAGCCUACCUCACUUAGCAUACCAGUACAUUCAAAGUACUGACGCAUAAUUUUCUUUUGCGCCAUGAUGUCUUAUAUCAUAGGUUCAGAUGCACGGGCUACUCACCACACUUAGCAGCCCGGAUUAUCAGCAACAGAUUUAGUGGUUCAUUCAAAAUGGCACAACGAUUUACUAUCAAUGAAAUAACCGCUGCAACAAACGACUGGACUUGUAAAGUUCAAGUGAUUGACAAGGGCCGACAGCGAGACAAUCAACAUGGAAGUAAAAAAUAUCAGCUUUUGAUUUUGCAGGAUGAAGAGGUACCAGCUCAUGGGUUAACUUGUGGUCCCUCAGGACUGUAAGCACCGUGUGGCGCCCAGGGUGUACUCUCGGGGCAUUACAAUUAUAAUGGAUCAAAGUCAAAAACCUACCAAAUUUACACUACACUUUGGGAGAAGUUCAUUGAUCAUGAUGGAGCUAAAAUAUUGGAAAAAAUUAAUCAAUAUCCAAUCAUCCUUGCAAGAAAAGUUGUAGAAUCAAGACCUGGACUGACAACAAGAUUUGCAACAACAAUUCAGAUUGAUCCUCCAUAUCCGUAGGUUGCUGCACUCAGAACAUGGAUCAAAACAAACAAGCAGCUGCUGAUUGAUUGCAUACAGGAAAAAGAGUACAGCUCCAUCAGGAUCUUUGCAAUUCAUUCCUUUUCAGGAUGAAGUUAUAUCUGUUGCCACUGCCCAAGAACAACCCCAGAUGUCAGUUUGAAGUGACUGUUGCAGACAGCAGUGGUUCAAUAGCAGCACUUAUUGCAGAUGAAACUGCUAAACAAUGUUGCAUCUCAGUUUAUUACAUUCAGGCAGUCUAGAAACAAAUGUUGCCAUUGGCGAAUGUCCAGGCCCAGUUAUCUGGCAAGAAAUUUGAUAUCCUGGCCAAAAAAUCUUACGCAAAAGGCACAGAUGCUGGUACCCCAAGAUUGAUCAUUGUGUCGUUCGUGGAAAAUCAACCUUCAAUGAACACACUGAAAGCAUUGGAAAGAGAAAGAUAUAUGAAACUGGCGCCAUAAGUUCUUCAGAUCACAUGUCAAGUAGUUCCCAUCAGAAAAACAAUACAGAGGUGAAAACGUCACCUCUGAAAAGCUGUCACAAGUGAACAAUGUUUUGUCUCCUACUUUUGUGAUGUCAUUGGAGCCACACUGAAAAGCAUCCUAAGAAAUGCUGUAGCAACUGUUUUUGCUGUCCACCUGAACAAGAUUGUGAGUAAAAGUUAAGGCAAGCAUCUAUCGGAAAUAAACUCCCUAUCUCUCGAAAGUAGGGGUAAGAUAUGCAUACAAACUAACCUCCCUACUUAUAUGAAUACAUAAGUUUCUAUUCAUGUGCCCUUGCUAUCUGGUUUUACUAUGAAAUUCAACGUUUUUUGGUCAAAUUUCAUGGAAUGUUGAUAUGAUUGGAGAUUAAGGAUAGUAUCCCACACACCAAAAUUACUCACAAGCGAAUUUUUUGUUGUUGUUGUGCAGAUAAUGCAAGCUGAUGUUUGUAUUCUUUAUUAAAAACAGACACCGUAGUAACAGUUUUUUUCGGUGGUUUUUUCUUGAAAAGUGCCUUUGGGAUUUAUGGGAUUUCAGAUUUCUCAUUUGAAUAUGUCUAAUUGAAUCUGCAUGGAGAAAAAUUGAUAUUAAGGAUUUGUACACUCCACCAUAAAUAAAAGUUGUUUAGUAAUAGCUAAUUUACGUCAUUUGGGUUAGUAGAGUUUGAACACUUUAGAAUUAUACAUCGAAUUUCUCAUCUGUGUUGUUGUUAGUUGCAAAAUGACUUUGUUUACUAUUGUUCACCUUUAUUCUACUAAUGGUUGAUUGGGUUCAAUACAUUAUAAACUUGAGCAUACAUUGUUCUUUGUCACAGUACAAAAUAUGUACAUGUUAUUGCAGAAUAGUAUGGCACUCCAAACAGAAUAUAGUAGUAGUUUGUGCUGACUGGUAUCCUUCAGAGUUUAUUCCUGCAUAAUACUAACCCUUCUCAAUUUUACUGUGCAACAGGUUUCAUCUCAAGCUAAGGAGGCACAACUUUUUGUUAUCUAUGUAAAUAAGAUGUAUAUAUAUCCUUUUUUUGUUAUCUAUGUAAAUAAGAUGUAUAUAACCUCUUGUAAAAUUUGGCUCCAUGAUAAAUAUUAUAAAGUAAAUAGUUUGUUCGGCAUACUGAUGCAUUACAUUUGACUUUUCUUUCACAUGCAUCACACGGGCCCCUCCCCCUAGUAUCU